AUGCCUCCGGCUCUCGACGCCGCCUCGCCGACGCUGCGAACCUCUCGCCCGGUCUCCCGCCUCCGGCGCAACCACCGACACUAUCACGGUGUUCAUCUUCACCUCCACUACCGCUUCCCUUCCUUAGCCGCCGACGGCGGGGGUCGCGGUCGCUUUCUCCUGGUCGGCACAUACUCCGCUUCUGAUGGUAGCGCAGGACAGGAUGUUGGUAGUCCCGAGAGCAUGGCAAAUUCAGGAUCUGCAUAUGUUGGUCUCUUUGUCCGAAUGCUUGGCUUGGAUAAUGACGCUCGUGAUAGGGAACAUGCUAUUUGCACACUCCGGCAUUACUCCCUUGGUGGACAGAAGUGCAUCGAUGAGAUAAUGCAGUUCCCAGGUUGCAUCAACCUCAUCAUCAGCCUCCUAAAGUCAGAGUCUGCUCGUGCUUGUGAAGCAGCGGCAGGCCUUCUGCAUAAUAUAACUUCAGUGAAGUUAUACAGGGAUGUGGCAAUUGAGAGUGGAGCAAUGGAAGAAAUCUUUAGCUGUAUCCGUAAAUCCACGAUAACCCCAGAGAUAAAGGAGCAGUGUUUGUGUACCAUUUGGAACUUUUCUAUUGAUGAAAAUUUGAGAUACAAGCUUUUGGGGAGUGAUAUGCUAAUACCAAUAGUUAGGUUCCUAGAUGAUGAAGACAUAAAAGUGAAAGAAGUUGCUGCUAGUAUCACAUCAUAUUUAACUUUAAGUCAUUCUUAUCAUGGAGCUCUGGUCGAAGCUGGUGUAAUUCCAAAACUGGUUCAUCUUCUGCAAACCAAAGACGAUGAUUAUAAAAUUAUCAGAAAGGAAGCUAGAAGUUCGCUCGUGGAACUAUCCACGGAUGAUAGUUACCAUGCCCUUAUAGUGGAUCAGGGUCUAGUCCGGAUUCCUCUGGUUGGCUCAUCCGCUUAUAAAGCCUUCAGACCUCAACCUCAUUCAUGGCCCUCUUUUCCUGAUGGCUCGGAAAUUCAACGGAGUUCUCGGCCUUCAAAAUAUGGUGCAACUGAAUUGCUUCUUGGCCUGAUUCCAAAUGAGAAGAAAGCAGAACCAGAUGAAGCUAAAAUUAAUGCUAUGAUAGGGCGUUCUAAUCAGCAAUUUCUUGCACGCGUUGGAGCUAUUGAGUUUGAUUAUGAAGGGAAAGAACAAUCUGGAUCUCAAAGGAAUGAUCACUACACCAUCUUACCUUGGAUAGAUGGUGUUGCACGGCUAGUUUUAAUAAUUGGUCUCCAAGAUGUCUCUGCAAUUGCAAAGGCUGCUCAUGCAAUCGGUGAUGCAUCAGUAAAUGAACACAUGCGCACUUCAUUCAUGGAAGCUGGGGCUGUGAAAUCUUUACUUCAGUUGCUGAUGCAUAAUGAUGUACCUGUCAGAGAAGCGAGUGCUUAUGCAUUGGAAAAACUAAGUGUCAGUUCCAAAGUUUGUGAGAAGAUCAGAGUAGAAGAUGGCCGAGAGCUGCUUGUAAAUGUACUGAAGGAUUCAAAUACCCCAGUAGAACAAUUGGAGAAGAUAAUCCAUAUACUUACUCGAAUACUUGAUAUGGAGGUCAGCAUGAUUACUGCGCCUGAUUACUAUGCUAGUACUGGGUCUGAGGAUAUAGUGGACGAUGAGAAGUGCAGUCAAGGUAAUGUAGAUGGUGAGCUCAAUGGAACGUCCCAAAAUUUGUUGAAACAAGACGAGUUGGAUAGAAAGUGCGUACAGAGAAUUGAUUUUAUCAUCUGUGGUGGACCUGCUGAUGUGUUUCUAUUACCUCGAUUAAUGCUAUUAACAUCGGUUACUGAUGACUGUAACAGUUGUAGCAAUUCAAUCUUUGACUUUGAUGUCAUCUCACGCUUAAUCAAAGUUCUCAAGGAAUCAUCUCCAAGCCUGCAAGAAAAAUGUGCUACUCUCCUGGAGCAUUUAGCAGCUUGUGAGCAACAUGGCACUGCAAUGACUGCUGCCCGCACUGAGUCAGUAAUUGAAGCUGUUCUAGAAAUGGGGGUUAUUCAUGGGACAACAUGCAAUCCUGAGAAUCUUGAUGAGCCUCCUACUAUUAUGGUUGAAGUCAGCCAGGCCGUCGGUGCAACUGUGAGGUUACUCACUAAGUUAUUGAACUUUGAUAUUUUUGCUCGCAGCAUAAAUAGUGUGAGAAUUGUUGCUCUGUUAAGAAGAACGCUCCAGUCCAGUGUUCUCCUACAGUCAAAGGAUUGGGUCACAGCAUGCCUCAUUAAGCUAGAAUCAAGGGGCUUGGUUGAUCGGAGUGUUGGUGAUAUAGGCAUGGAGAUAACUAUAUACCAUACUAUUCCCAGGCUAGUUGAGCAGAUGAUGACUUCAUUUUCUUCUGAAAAGAAAAGAAAAGCUGUAAUAGAGCUGAACAGGAUAAUAUCUGGAGGUGUCAUGGAAUACACAACAGCAGUUGCCACAGCUGGAGGCAUAUUUCCGCUGGUAAAGAUGCUUGAAGAGGGUGAAGGAGAUGUACUGGAAGCUAGUUUAGCUGUCUUGUAUAACCUAAGCUUGGAUCCAGAGAAUCACCCGCCAAUAAUUGCUGCUGGAGCAGUGCCUCUUUUGAAGCGAAUUGUCCAUGUGGAAAGCCCACACUGGAAUCGUGCUCUUCAGUUGCUUAGAACGUUGCCCGUAUAA
rnacentral:rRNA from 1 species